CCUACGGGAGGCAGCAGUGGGGAAUAUUGGGCAAUGGGCGCAAGCCUGACCCAGCAACGCCGCGUGAAGGAAGACGGCCCUCGGGUUGUAAACUUCUUUUGUCACGGACGAAGAAAGUGACGGUACCUGACGAAUACGCCACGGCUAACUACGUGCCAGCAGCCGCGGUAAUCCGUAGGCGGCAAGCGUUAUCCGGAUUUACUGGGUGUAAAGGGCGUGUAGGCGGGAGUGCAAGUCAGAUGUGAAAUUCCAGUGCUCAACCAUGGAACUGCAUUUGAAACUGUAGUUCUUGAGUGAUGGUGAGGCAGGCGGAAUUCCGGGUGUAGCGGUGAAAUGCGUAGAGAUACGGAGGAACACCAGUGGCGAAGGCGGCCUGCUGGACAUUAACUGACGCUGAGGCGCGAAAGCGUGGGGAGCAAACAGGAUUAGAUACCCUAGUAGUC
rnacentral:rRNA from 1 species